rnacentral:tRNA from 1 species
AUUCAUUUAGUAUAUACAGUAUAUCAAGCUUCCAACUUGAAGGUUUUUUAUUCAAAAAUGAAUA